UACGUAGGGUGCAAGCGUUAAUCGGAAUUACUGGGCGUAAAGCGUGCGCAGGCGGUUGUGCAAGACAGAUGUGAAAUCCCCGGGCUUAACCUGGGAACUGCAUUUGUGACUGCACGGCUAGAGUGUGUCAGAGGGGGGGUAGAAUUCCACGUGUAGCAGUGAAAUGCGUAGAUAUGCGGAGGAACACCGAUGGCGAAGGCAAUCCCCCUGGGCCUGCACUGACGCUCAUGCACGAAAGCGUGGGGGAGCAAACAGG
rnacentral:rRNA from 1 species